AUGGUCUACUUGGCCUGGAACAUACCUCUCCAGAACUCCGGAAUAGAUUUUGGGGACAUUUCUUCCAGAAUGGCACUCCGGGAAAAGCUGAAGUGUCAAACUUUUGACUGGUACCUGAAAAAUGUUUACCCACUCUUGAAGCCAAUACACACCAUCAUAGGCUAUGGAACAAUGAAAAACCUAUUGGAUGAAAAUGUCUGCCUGGAUCAGGGAGCCAUUUCAGGCAACACCCUCAUCGUGUAUAACUGCCAUGGAUUCAGUUCACAGUACGUCUACUAUCACCUAACUGGGGAGUUCUACGUGGGACAACUGAUUGCAGAGGCCAGUGAUAGUGAUUGCUGCCUGACAGACCCUGGCAAGACAGGAGAAGCCCACCUUAGAACCAUGCUCCGAGGCAGCUACGAAUGGACUGCACAUAUCUUGGGAUUUUAAACAGGCGGUAGAAAAGGAAUCUGCAAAGAGGGAGAACUAAAAGACGGAUGUCAGGAAGAGUGUUUCUUCAGCAUCGAGAUGGCAGGGGCUCAGGAAGCAGAGGGGGCUGCUGGCAG
rnacentral:lncRNA from 1 species